UACAGAGGUCUCAAGCGUUGUUCGGAUUCAUUGGGCGUAAAGGGUGCGUAGGCGGCGCGGUAAGUCGGGUGUGAAAUCUCGGGGCUCAACCCGGGAAGUGCACUCGAAACUGCGAGGCUAGAGUACUGGAGAGGUUGGUGGAAUUCUCGGUGUAGAGGUGAAAUUCGUAGAUAUCGAGAGGAACACCGGUGGCGAAGGCGGCCAACUGGACAGAUACUGACGCUGAGACACGAAAGCGUGGGGAGCAAACAGG
rnacentral:rRNA from 1 species